rnacentral:lncRNA from 1 species
GUUUUGUUAAAUGGAAGCUAUGAAUGUCGAUUUGUCAAGGAGGUUGGUACAGAAAGAUACUAGAUUAAAAACACAUCCAAGCUGGGGUGGGAAAGAAUCAUAGGGAAAAUCUACUUGUGUGUAGAACUAGAAGUUUCCAAGAAGACAAAGGAGCAGGAGGAGUAACUGCUGAGACCAUGACAAGGCUAAGGACUGAUGUUAAAAGUCAUAGGGUUUUCAUGUUGCAGGGGUUGAGCAGUUUUGGGUGUUUGCAGGGUUUGGGGCUGUGACGUGGGCAGCUGACAGUUAAAAUGUUAAGGGCUAGGAAGCUAGAAGUCGGCAUUGGGGGGUUCUCCUGCUGAAGGUGGGAAUCGAGAGUUAGCUAAUGGCUAAUAUGUCUUAGUUGGGUGGAGGAGUGGCAGAUGACAAGGACGGGCAGGGCUCUGGCACAGCUAGAAAACUCAGAGCAAUUUGACAGUAUGCAGCUAGUCAGUGUGUGGACCGUGUGGCAUCACUUUAGGACACUGAUCUUUUAUUGCCUCUUAUUUUCUAUUUUCUUUUCCCUACUAAAAUUUAAAGCCUUUUAUUUGUUAUAGCAAUGGAAUACCUACCUACUCUUCUUUACAUUAAAGUUGAGGACAAAGAUUGGCAUAUAUAUGUGUAAUUGGCAACAGUGCAACGGUUAUUUUUGUCUUUUUAUCUCUGCCUCUCUAUGCCACCAUAACGUCUCUGUCACCAUAGCCUUUCUAUACCACCAUAGCUUCUCUAUGCCACCAUAGACUCUAUGCCAACUGUAAAGAGGCAGUAUGGCCAAGGCAACUCUUAUAAAGAAAAUAUUUAAUUGGGGCUGGCUUAGGGAUUCUGAAGUUCAAUCCAGUAUCAUGGUGGGAAGCAUGGUAUCGUCCAGGCAGACAUGGUGCUGGAGGAGCUGAGAGUCUGGUUCCAAAGGCAAACAGGAGAAGACUGGCAGCUAGGAGGAACGUCUCUCAAAAGCCCACCCCCACAGUAACACAUUUUCUCCAACAAGGCCAUACCUCCUAAUAGUGCCUCUCCCUGAGCCAGGGAUAUUCAAACCACCAUACCACCAUAGCUUCUCUAUGCCACCAUAGUCUCUCUUUGCCACCAUAGCUUCUCACUACCCCAUAGCCUUUGUCCUCAGCUAGGAGAUGAGAGCCAGCAUUCUAACUGUAGUAACAACAGCAAUACUUUAUAUGGGCUUUGCUUGAGCCAGGGCCUCACUAUGCAGCUCUGGCCAUCCCAGAAGUUUCUGUGUAGACCAGGCUGGUUUCAAACUCAGAGAUCUUUCUGCCUCUGCCUCCCAAGUGUUAAGAUAAAAGGUGUGUGUCACCGUACUCAGCCUUAUAUAGUAUUUUUAUUUUCAGUUUUAGGCACUUCCAUUUAUUUAUUUAUUUAUUUAUUUAUUUAUUUUGCUUUUCGAGACAGGGUUUUUCUGUGUAGCGCUGGCUGUCCUGGAACUCACUUUGUAGACCAGGCUGGCCUCGAACUCAGAAAUCUGCCUGCCUCUGCCUCCCAAGUGCUGGGAUUAAAGGUGUGCACCACCACGUCUGCCCAGCGGUGCUUCCUUUUAUAUACCUCAAGAAUUUGUAAGUCUGCCCAGUCCUACUUGUUAUUCUCUGUGGAGAGGGAACCAGGGCUCUGCGGCCACUGAGUUACAUCCCCAGCCCAACUGGACUCUGUAGUGAUCUCUGUGCCCUCUGACCCCAGGCCUGUAGUCUCAGUUAUUUGACUGAACCUGUGGACUAGUGCUGUGGACAGGCCCAGUUGUUCAGCCAGAAACCUCUGGAUUUGGGUCUGUGUGAGAUGCUUUAGCUUCUCUGUCUUUCUGUGGAUGAGAACCUACUGUCUGUAUCCCAUUGCUUUUGUGUCCAGAAUAUAGGUAGGGCCUGUUCCUUUUGCUUUGGGAGGUUGUGACGUUUACAUCCGUCACUGAAGACUGAAGGCUACUUCUCUACAGUUUGCAGAGGAGAAAGUCUUUAUGUGUGUGCCUGUCUUUCCACGUGUCAGAACACGGCCAUAGAAAAUGCAUUAACUUUAAGUGGGCUAAGGCACCCCAAGACAUCACUGUAGCACUCAGUUGUAUAACCCCUGUUUUUAGGAUGGACUGGAAAGCCCACUGUCAUCCUUCACACUGUCAUGAGCAUCCCUCGAACCUCUGCUUUCACGUGCUCCUUCGUUUUGAUCCAAACGAGCCCACCCACUGUUGAAGGCGGUGCCCCUCCACUCGGCCAGAUGUGCUUUAUCCUGCCCUGAUCCCCAUUUGAAGUCUCUGCCUCUGUGGCUCACUUCUUAUCCCAUGUAAAGGGACAGUUACAGGGCCCCAAGAUGGGUGAGUGCCUAAUGACAUUUACCACCCAUGUUUGCGAAACUGACAACUGAAUUCAAUUAUCCAUAACCCUUACAAAGGAGAGAAGACCUCAGAGUUGUCCUCUUACUUACAUACUUGCACCAUGGCAUGCCCCACCCCAAGACACUAAUAAUAAGGAAAAUUUAAAUUAAAAAAGACAAUUAGAGGCAAGUAUCCAUUUUCAGUACACAGAAAAGUUGAUCACAUAAAUGUCAGUGAUUUACACUAAUAGAUAAGAUAGAUAAUCUAAAUAGAUAAUCUAAAUAUAUUAGAUUCUUGUCACCAAGCUGUGGUGGCACACACAGGGGAAUAGGCGCAGGCAGAUCUUUGUGAGUUCCAGUCUAGUUUAAAGAGUAAAUUUCAGUACAGCCAAGGAUACACAGAGAAAUCUUGCCUCAAAUAC